GACCCAGUGGUGCACGGCGCACACCCACCCAAUAUGGAAAUCCCUCGGGGGCCCCAACAAAGGUGUUAGUAGGAGGUCCCCGUUCGACUCGGGGCUGGGUCA